rnacentral:lncRNA from 1 species
UUGUUCAAUUAAUGUUAAUAGUCAUCCGAACUUGAUUUUUUAUAUUUUGCUUCCUGAUCCAAAGAGAAGAAAAUCGUGGCUUUAUGCUUUAUAUAGAACUGAUUCAUCUUGCUAAAACAAACUUAGGUCGCAAAACAUGUCUAAGUAUGCUCAAAACAUUUUGUAUCUGAAUAUUAUGUACAAAAAAGUCAUUGCAAUAAAUCUCAAGUUAUUAAAGUCAGUGAACAAAUAAGUACUGACAAUUCGUUGACUGGAGUGGAAGAUGUUAGUGUCUUGAACCAACAUGAAACAACAAGUUAACUUAGCUGAGAAUGAUGGUAGUUUAAAAAUAAUGCAGCAUUGGCUAGGAUUGUUCCUAGGUCACAAAAACAAUCUUACAAAUAGAGUUUCUGCUGUUGUCACUGGUUUUAGAGAGUACCUUUGUGAAUGAAGAUAAAAAGUCAUUUAUGUUAUUUUUUAAAAGCCAAGACACAAUAUUGUUAAUCCUCAUGCCAUUUACUAAAAAGCUUUAUAAAUAUUGUU